UACGGAGGGUGCAAGCGUUGUUCGGAAUUACUGGGCGUAAAGGGUUCGUAGGUGGCCAACUCAGUCAGACGUGAAAUCCCUCAGCUCAACUGGGGAACUGCGUCUGAUACUAGAUGGCUCGAGUGCAGGAGAGGAACGCGGAAUUCCAGGUGUAGCGGUGAAAUGCGUAGAUAUCUGGAGGAACACCGGUGGCGAAGGCGGCGUUCUGGACUGCAACUGACACUGAGGAACGAAAGCCAGGGGAGCAAACGGG
rnacentral:rRNA from 1 species